rnacentral:rRNA from 1 species
AUUGAACGCUGGCGGCAGGCCUAACACAUGCAAGUCGAGCGGAUGAAGGGAGCUUGCUCCUGGCUUCAGCGGCGGACGGGUGAGUAAUGCCUAGGAAACUGCCUGGUAGUGGGGGAUAACGUCCGGAAACGGGCGCUAAUACCGCAUACGUCCUGAGGGAUAAAGUGGGGGAUCUUCGGACUUUACGCUAUUAGAUGAGCCUAGGUCGGAUUGGCGCGUUGGUGGGGUAAAGGCGUACCACGGCGGCGAUCCGUAACUGGUGUGAGAGGAUGAUGAGUCACAGUGGAGCUGAGACGCGGUACAGAGUCCGACGGAAGGCAGAGGUGGCGAAGAGUGGACGAUGGGCGAAAGCCUGAUCCAGCGGUGCCGGGCGGAUGAAGAAGGGCUUCGGAUGGGAAAACACUUUAAGUGGGGAAGAACGGUAGUGAUUAAAAACCUUGCUGUUUUGACGGUACCAAGUAAAGAAGCACCGGCUAACUACGUG